UCCCCGUUAUCCGGGGCGGUUUCACUAGAGUGCUCGGCAUUACCCGGUGGCAACAUAGAACGAGGGUUGCGCUCGUUGCGGGACUUAACCCAACAUCUCACGACACGAGCUGACGACAGCCAUGCAGCACCUGUGUACGCUGGUAUUGCUACCUCGUCAGGCUUUCACCCUUCUACUACGUACAUGUCAAGGCCAGGUAAGGUUCUUCGCGUUGCAUCGAAUUAAGCCACAUACUCCACCGCUUGUGCAGGCCCCCGUCAAUUUCUUUGAGUUUUAAUCUUGCGACCGUACUCCCCAGGCGGCACGUUUAACGCGUUAGCUUCGCCACAAAAGGGGUCGAUUCCUCUUACAGCAAACGUGCACCGUUUACAGCUAGGACUAC
rnacentral:misc_RNA from 1 species